rnacentral:rRNA from 1 species
CCUACGGUGGGGCAGCAGUGGGGAAUAUUGGACAAUGGGCGAAAGCCUGAUCCAGCCAUGCCGCGUGUGUGAAGAAGGCCUUCGGGUUGUAAAGCACUUUCAGUGGGGAAGAAAGCCUUGGGGCUAAUACCCUCGAGGAAGGACAUCACCCACAGAAGAAGCACCGGCUAACUCCGUGCCAGCAGCCGCGGUAAUACGGAGGGUGCGAGCGUUAAUCGGAAUUACUGGGCGUAAAGCGCGCGUAGGCGGUCUGAUAAGCCGGUUGUGAAAGCCCCGGGCUCAACCUGGGAACGGCAUCCGGAACUGUCAGGCUAGAGUGCAGGAGAGGAAGGUAGAAUUCCCGGUGUAGCGGUGAAAUGCGUAGAGAUCGGGAGGAAUACCAGUGGCGAAGGCGGCCUUCUGGACUGACACUGACGCUGAGGUGCGAAAGCGUGGGUAGCAAACAGGAUUAGAUACCCGAGUAGUC